rnacentral:rRNA from 1 species
GAUGAACGCUGGCGGUAUGCUUAACACAUGCAAGUCGAACGGACUCUUCGGAGUUAGUGGCGGACGGGUGAGUAACGCGUGAGAAUCUGGCUUUGGGUUCGGGACAACCACUGGAAACGGUGGCUAAUACCGGAUGUGCCGAGAGGUAAAAGAGAAAUUGCCUGAAGAUGAGCUCGCGUCUGAUUAGCUAAUUGGUGAGGUAAAGGCUCACCAAGGCAGCGAUCAGUAGCUGGUCUGAGAGGAUGACCAGCCACACUGGGACUGAGACACGGCCCAGACUCCUACGGGAGGCAGCAGUGGGGAAUUUUCCGCAAUGGGCGAAAGCCUGACGGAGCAAUACCGCGUGAGGGAAGAAGGCUCUUGGGUUGUAAACCUCUUUUCUUAGGGAAGAACAAAAUGACGGUACCUAAGGAAUCAGCAUCGGCUAACUCCGUG